UACAGAGGUCUCAAGCGUUGUUCGGAUUCAUUGGGCGUAAAGGGUGCGUAGGCGGCGCGGUAAGUCGGGUGUGAAAUCUUGGAGCUUAACUCCGAAACUGCAUUCGAUACUGCCGUGCUUGAGGACUGGAGAGGAGACUGGAAUUUACGGUGUAGCGGUGAAAUGCGUAGAUAUCGUAAGGAAGACCAGUGGCGAAGGCGGGUCUCUGGACAGUUCCUGACGCUGAAGCACGAAGGCCAGGGGGAGCAAAGCGGG
rnacentral:rRNA from 1 species